UGGCGGACGGGUGAGUAACGCGUGGGAAUCUGCCUCUUACUGGGGGAUAACAGUGGGAAACUACUGCUAAUACCGCAUAAGAUCUUCGGAUGAAAGGUGCAACUGCACCGGUAAGAGAUGAGCCCGCGUCCCAUUAGCUAGUUGGUGAGGUAAAGGCUCACCAAGGCGACGAUGGGUAGCCGGCCUGAGAGGGUGAACGGCCACACUGGGACUGAGACACGGCCCAGACUCCUACGGGAGGCAGCAGUAGGGAAUCUUCCGCAAUGGGCGCAAGCCUGACGGAGCGACGCCGCGUGAGUGAUGAAGGCCUUCGGGUCGUAAAGCUCUGUUCUUGAGGACGAAUAAGCCAGGGAGUGGAAAGCCCUGGUGAUGACUGUACUCAAGGAGAAAGCUCCGGCUAACUACGUGCCAGCAGCCGCGGUAAUACGUAGGGAGCUAGCGUUGUCCGGAAUUACUGGGUGUAAA
rnacentral:rRNA from 1 species